rnacentral:tRNA from 1 species
UUACGGGGAAAUCCCCUCUUUACA